rnacentral:rRNA from 1 species
AGAGUUUGAUCCUGGCUCAGAUUGAACGCUGGCGGAAUGCUUUACACAUGCAAGUCGAACGGCAGCACGGGUGCUUGCACCUGGUGGCGAGUGGCGAACGGGUGAGUAAUGCGUCGGAACGUACCGAGUAAUGGGGGAUAACGCAGCGAAAGUUGUGCUAAUACCGCAUACGCCCUGAGGGGGAAAGUGGGGGACCGCAAGGCCUCACGUUAUUCGAGCGGCCGACGUCUGAUUAGCUAGUUGGUGGGGUAAAGGCCUACCAAGGCGACGAUCAGUAGCGGGUCUGAGAGGAUGAUCCGCCACACUGGGACUGAGACACGGCCCAGACUCCUACGGGAGGCAGCAGUGGGGAAUUUUGGACAAUGGGGGCAACCCUGAUCCAGCCAUUCCGCGUGAGUGAAGAAGGCCUUCGGG